UGAAUAUUAGAAAACACUGCUGCAACCUGAAGUUCCUUGUUAAUGUUCACAUUCUUCAUUCAUGCAGAACACACAGGAGUAGGAAGCUCCGCUGGGAACACCAGACACGCACCCGCGCUCAUCAGGCAGACUGUGCCCACUCUCCGCCGCAGCCGGCGGCAAUCCACGCCUGACAUAGCUGGCGUUGAUGAAGGACGGCAGUAUGAAGACGGUCGACGCUGACUCAUCGACGUCCGAACGUAAAUCUACUACCCCGCUCGUGUCACCACUGCUGUUUCCCUCCUGGACCUGGUUUGCCUUCCCCGAUCCUUGACCCUGCUUUUGGACUUUCGGACUCUCUCUCCUGCCUUUGACCCCCGCUUGGACCUUGGACUUCCCCUGGCUUCUCUCCCCCUCGGAUUUGGACGCUGAACAUCCAAUACGCACCUCAACAAACCUCACGGUAUUCACAUAUGGAACGUCAACAACACGUCCGUCUUGUUCUUCAACGAUUACUAGAAGACGUGAAUCUUCGUCAAAGCAGAUAAAUGUGAGUUUAAUUCCUCUUCUGUUGAGUUUCCUGGCUUUGUCAUCAAGGCUGACCCCAAGAAGGUGAAGGCGGUAGUGGAGUGGCCCCAACCCUCUACCUGUACCGAGUUAUGUCGUUUUCUGGCCUUUGCUGGAUUCUAGAGACAAUUUAUCAAGGACUUCAGUAAGCUGGCCGCACCACUUCAUGCACUCUCUUCCACCAAUGUACCUCUUCGGUGGAACCAGGAACCAGGUAUGGCAUUCUGGUGCCUGAAGAGGAGCUUUUCAUCCCUGCACCCAUCCUGGUGUACCCUGAUCAAGACUGCCCAUUCAUAGUCGAGGUAGAUGCUUCUGAUUCGGGAGUUGGCGCAGUGCAUUCGCAACGCUCCAAGCAGGACAACAAAUCCACCCCUGUGCAUUUUUUCGAGACGCUUAUCUCCUGCAGAGCUCAAUUAUGAUGCUGGUAAUCGGGAGUUACUUGCUGUUACGAGGCUUUAAAGGAGUGGAGACAUUUGUUGGAGUUGGAGGGUGCUAAAUAUCAAUUUCAGGUUCCUAUUGAUCACCGUAAUCUUCUCCAUGUCCGAGCCGCCAAGAGGCUUAAUGAUCGACAGGCCCGUUGGUCCCAGUUUUUUGUUCACUUCAACUAUGUUCUCUCUUUUAGACCUGGAUCUUGUAACACCAGGGGCGGAGCUAGAGGGGAGGCCAGGGUAGCACUGGACCCCCCUGAAAUCUGAUUGGACCCCCCAGGUGCCACCCCAGAUCAUUGACAUAUCGCGGCACCGCACGUCUUGUCGGAAGGAGCCAGUUGCAUUUUUAAAUCAGUGAAGCCUAUUGACUGCUAAGUCCCUCCCGUACAGUAGUUGGCGCUAUGUACCACAAAGCUUUGCGAGCCACGUUCAUUAGGGGAGAAGAAGAAUCGCCAUUGAAGAAGAGGAAAAUUUAAAUUGGAGUCGGUUAUCGUUGCUGGAGACCGGAGAGCCGGAGAUCAACGAAGGUACAAAGAAAAAGAAGGAUAACCUUCUCGUCGUAAAGUAAGUUUUACGGUGGUGUCCUAAUGAGUCACUGUUUAAAAUAACUUUUGUAGAUAGAAGUUUUUUUUUUCUACAAGCAGAGAGCCACGGCAUUAAGCAAACGUUAAUGUUACAUCUCAUGGCGUCUUGCUUCCAACAGCCGCUAACGUCUCGUUUAAUUAAUUUGGGUCGCUAUUUAUAUUUACGUGUUUCUCCAAUGAUUGUAGAGCAGUGGUUCUCAAAUGGGGGUACGCAUACCCCUGGGGGUACUUGUAGGUAUGCCAAGGGGUACGUGAGAUUUUUUGAAAAUAUUCUAAAAAUAGCAACAAUUCAAAAAUCCUUUAUAAAUGUAUUUAUUGAAUAAUACUUCAACAAAAUAUGAAUGUAAGUUCAUAAACUGUGAAAAAAAAUGCAACAAUGCAAUAUUCAGUGUUGACAGCUACAUUUUUUGUGGACAUGUUCCAUAAAUAUUGAUGUUAAAGAUUUCUUUUUUUUUGUGAAAAAAUGUUCAGAAUUAAGUUCAUGAAUCCAGAUGGAUCUCUAUUACAAUCCCCAAAGAGGGCACUUUAAGUUGAUGAUUACUUCUAUGUGUAGAAAUAUUUAUUUAUAAUUGAACACUUGUUUAUUUUUCAACAAGUUUUUUGUUAUUUUUAUGUCUUUUUUUUCUCCAGAGUUCAAGAAAAGCCAUUACAAAUGAGCAUUAUUUUGCACUCUUAUACAAUUUAAUAAAUCAGAAACUGAUGACAUAGUGCUGUAUUUUACUACAGUAUCUAUUUUUUUUUUAACCAAAAUUGCUUUGCUCUGAUUAGGGGGUACUUGAAUUAAAAAAAUGUUCACAGGGGGUACAUCACUAAAAAAAGGUUGAGAACCACUGUUCUAGAGGAAUGAACCUAGCGGAGAAUCAGCCAGCCAGCUAGCUGUUUCAUGCUCUGUUGUAACGUAACGUUCACAUGGUAGUUAGCCUGCUGUCAACUAACUGAAAAGUCUGAAUAUUAAACUUAGGUCUACAGUGGUUUAUUUGCCCAGACAUGUUUUAGGCUUGAAGUGGAGAUUUAAUAACACUGUGAUUGUAAGUGAUGCCUGGAGUAACGUUAACAAGACUUGCUUAUUUUUUCAUAGGGUCAGUUGAGAAUGAAAAGGCAGGGGGAGAAGAUUUAUGACCUCUUUUUAAAAAGAAGCAAGUCAGGGUCGGGAAAAGAUGAGGCAGACAGACAGCCAGGAUUCAGGUCUGCCAGCAGUCCUGGCAGCUCCCAUCCUGGGACGAGUCAGGAGGAGAGAGAAUGUGAUGCACACAGCCCAUCAUCACCAGGUCAGAGCAUAGAAGCAGUCACAUGCUCACUUGAGUAAUUUUAAGUUACAGGGUUACUACGCUGGUAUGGAAAGUUUGGAAUUUCUACAUUUCCAGGUCUGUAGUAAUAUGGAAGAUGGAAACAAUUGUAUGGAAAUAUAUUUAUACUUAUCUGGGUUAUCUUAAGAUUUGUGGGUUAAUUAUUUUGCAUACACUACCUAUCUACAAUCUUCUGGAAAUAAUUUGGUGACUUAAUGGCAUACAAAUUCAAUAAUGAUAACACAUGAUUUCCAUGAUGAAUUGCAUAAUUUAUUCACAUGAUAUACUCAUCUCAAAUGUCACAAAUUAUUGGAUUCUUUUUUAGAUUUUUUUUUUUUACUGAGAAGUCUCCGUAUUAGGGUCUGGAAAUUUCAAAUGUGUAGGAACCCCUAAGUUUAUUUUUAGAUGUUCUGAAGUGUUGGUUACUGAUGUGUGUUGUUUUUUUAUGGUGGUUGUAUGUUAAUUUAGCUUACACUAAUAUUUUCAUUUUUAUACAAUGUAGUUCCAUUAGACACAGAAGAAAAAGAGGGCAGCUCCCUUCCUGGGACUAGUCGGGAUAGAGAACUCACAACACAGCAAAGCCCAUCUUCACCAGGUCAGAGCAUGGACAGAAACAGUCACAUGCUCAGUUCAGUAAUUAAGUUGCCAAGUUGUGUUUUAAAUUUUCUGCAUUGUUAAUAAACUGCAAAUUAUAUAUACAUAAAUUUCAUCUCCUGAGUGCUUAAUAUGUACAUUUCAACAUUUGCCGCUCCAAUUGCAAUUGAUAAGUCAAGAAAACAAUUAAUUGUUAUAGUCUGUGAAAUAGCCUUGGCCACCCCCUGGCCACCCCAAGGAUAAAAGUCUAGCUCCGCCACAGUGUCACACCAAAGUUGAUGCACUCUCUCGCCAGUUCUCGGAAGAGACACACACACACU